GCGCCAAUGGUGUAUGGUACACACGCCGAACUCUUACUUUCUAUCUAGUCAAUUGAUCGGUGGUGUGGGGUUCGAUUCCCCACUGGUGCA